AUGAGAGGUGGUAACCUAAGCUGUCCUGCAUUUGGCGUUUUAAUGUGUCCAUUCCUGUUCUUGAUUGCACUUGGAGGUCACCGGGAUCUAAAGUCACUGGAAGCAGUUAAAAUAAUAGGAGCUGACCACAUGUUGGAGGUUAUGAGAUGUGGCCCCCCGACACACAGAGAAGCUGCUGCAAACCCACUGCUGGAACAUUGUUGUUGUGCCUCGCUGACCUGUUUGUUUAAAACUUACACAAAUAUUUGUGUAAACUGAUUUACAGUAAACAUUUGAUGCAAGUUAUUGCUGAUAUAUGAAUACAAAUACGCAAAACCACAUAAACGAAGCUCUUUCUCCUUUAAUUUUUUUUAGAUGACUCAGCUUCUUUUCGUGUAAUGGUGAGUAAACAUGUGCAUGUAAAUAUAAAUCAAAAAUCGGUGCAUGUGAUUGUGUGUGUGUGUGCUGUGGGAGCGAAUGCACACUUCCUGUUUACCUUUCCUCACUGACACUUUACCUUUCCAUCACUAGUGCAUUUACACAAAUAUACACACACUUCCACAUGACUUCAUUACAGGACAGACGGGGAGUAAUUUGUUUGCGUUAAGAGUCAGCGCAACUAUUCUUCAAACUGCACCAUCUUCCCUAUAAAUUAUAAUUCCACACAUGUGGUGGCCAUUUCCUGUUCAUUUAUUUCCCAUAGAGUACAUGUAAACAUACAUCAGUCACCAUAUAGACGUCCAAUAAAAUAAUACUGUUAAAAGGGUAGUAACUGAUUACAUUUAAUCUGGAUUAUGUAAUCAGAUUCCAAAAAAUGAAGUACUUGUAAUUGGAUUAUAUUACAUUUUAAAAUAAUCGUAAUCAGACCACAGUCACUAUUUUAUUGAUAACAUGAUUAUAUAUUAUUCACAAUACAUUCGUAAUUUAUUGAUUCUCCAUAAUUAUUCUUUUUCAUAUUUUAAAUUUAUGUUUCUAAAAUAGCCUGCCUCUUAUAUGCAUUCAGAAAGUCUUCCAGUUUUAUUUUAUUUAUUUUUUUUUUUUUUGGACAUUCACACAAAAACAGUCACUAGCCACCUGACUAGGUUAUAGCUUUUGUCUUUCAAAUGUUAAAAUGCACAUAUUCACGUUAUUUCUUAUUUACAUGUAGGGCAGGGAUUCCCAAACUUGUUUUAUUUUUUUUUUUGUUUGUUUGUUUUUUUUUUUCAGCUGAACCUCUUUCACCUAAUAUAUUUACUUGAAACACCCCCUAAAGUGUAAAGGUAAUUAAGAUAAUAAUUAAGUAACACAUUUGCAUGUUUUAGUUUCUCUGUUGGUUAAUGGUCACAUGAAAUGCAAAUAAAUAAAAUCUUUUUUUGUUGUUUUGUUGUUAUUUUCAAAUGAUUCAUUUUAAUUUGACAUUUUUUAUGAUUUCAUUAAUUACUAGCUUUUCAUUAAACUCAUGAUGUGAUAAACAAAGUAAUCUAAAAGUAAUCUGAUUAUAUUACCCAAAAUGUGUAAUGUAAUGGAUUAAUACCAUGGAACAUAACGGACUAGUAAUCUACCCAGCACUGGAAACAGCAUGGCAACAUACUAAGAACCACCCAGAGCACCUUAGUAACCGCAUAGCAACCUCCUAGCAACCACCCACAAUGCCAUAGCAUCAUGAAGGUGAGUUUUGCAGGGGCAAAUAGCACUUUAUUUAAAUUUUUAUUUAUUUAUUUUUUUAUAUAAAAACAAAUGUAUGAAUCAAACUUGAUUAGUAACUCUUCUUGUCCCUCAGUAAAGCAGACCGCAUGUCGUCUCUCCAGCCUACCGGUAACCGUGAACGGCUGUGCACUGGAAACAAUUAAGAUUAAUGAUUAAUUGAACUCAUCUGAAACCAACCGGCCAAGUCAGCGAACUGUUUUCCAUCUCUUUCCAAAUAUCAGCGGCCACCAGCGGGGCCGGUCAUGACAGUGACCCUCGGCGCACAUCUGCGGCCCACGAGUGUCUCCAGCUGCCUACGGCUUCACAUGCAGACGCCACACCUGUCCAAUCCCAGCAUCCCUCACUCAAAGGAUGGCCUCUAGCUAAAGCACAUCCCAAAUGACUUCCGAUCGGUCUCUUGACUUGAACCACACAGCUGGUUUGCAGUAUCCACUUCAUCUAUUCUCUAAGAGUUUGAAACGCUGAAACCGUUUAGCACAUAUCCAGAAUGUAUAUUUCACAGAAGUUACAAAACCAUUUGUACACGUUGUUCGCUCGAUGUUUAUUCUAAUCUUCUGAAUGGCCUGUGAUUGAACUGUGGGUGUCUGCCAGCUCCUCUCUUUCCUGGUCUUUCUGCUUUCUAAUUUUUAGUUACUGUUGAAUCCACUGAGCUUCAGAGAACACAAAGGGCUCCUGAACGCGGGCCAGCCCACCCCACAGAUGGUCAGGGGAUCAGAGGCUGUCAGCGCGCUCCAACAAUCCAGGCACCGGGGUUCAGUCUCCACGGGAGCAUGGCGGGUCUGAAUGGGAGCAUUUCCACUCGCUUCUAUAGCCCCCUGCCAGGCAUUUGUAAGAUGAUUUGUGGCAAAUUUGUUGGAUCAAUAUGGAUGCCGGAGGUGAGGCUCCUCUUUCUGUGUGGGAGCACCGCUUGGUUCCUCGCGGCCGAGUUAAAGCGGAUCUGUUUGAAGCGCUGCGGCGGUGAAGACAUCUGGAGAUCGGAGGUGAUGACAUGUUGACCGUGACAGAACACACUAAGCUGGACAAAACCUGAGGAAGAAAUGUAAUUAAUUGUGAUAGGCUUGGGACACAGCGAUUGUGUUGGAGGUGACUUGCAUUGGCUAAGUGAGUUCAUGAAGCUUUGGAAGCGUGAAAAAGUGCAGGUCAGGGUAGUUGGUUUGGCAAGUUUCACACUCCUUUUUUUUGUCUCCAAAUUAAUUCCUUGCCCAUUCUCUUCUGCCAAAAAAGUACAAAUAAUAAUAAUGAUAAUAAUAAUAAUAAUGAAAUAAUAAUGCUCUCACACACACACAUAUAUGUGUGUGUGUGUGAGCAUGAUUUAUAUUUAUUAUUUAUUCAGUGUUUAUUUAUUAUUUUUAAUAAUUUCCAUUAUCCCUGAAUAAUGAGUAAUAAUAAUAAAUAUUUGUAUUAUAUAUAUAUAUAUAUAUAUAUAUAUAUAUAUAUAUAUAUAUAUAUAUAAACAGUUUAAAAUUUUAAUUGUUAAUAAUAAUUAUUAUUUUUAUUAUAUUAUAUAUAUAUAUAUAUUAUAUUUUAUUUAUAUUUUAGUCAUAAAAUAAUAUAAUUUUAUAAAUUAUAUAAUA
ensembl:lncRNA